rnacentral:tRNA from 1 species
GCAGUGGUAGUUCAGUGGUAGAAUCCUUGCUCUCUAUGCAAGAGACUGCGGUUUGAUUUCCAGCCAACGCA